GACGAACGCUGGCGGCGUGCUUAACACAUGCAAGUCGUACGGUAAUGCCCUUUCUGGGGUCCACGAGUGGCGGACGGGUGGGUGACACGUGCGUAACCUGCCCACCUCUUUGGGUUAACGCACUGCAACUGAUGCUAAUUCUUAAUAGAUACCAUUGCUGCAUACAUGGGGUUCGAUAGAACCGGGGGUUGUGGAUGGAACUUCGGGCUAUCACCUCGUUGGUGGGGUUAUUGCGUCCCAAAGCGGCGGCGGGUAGCCGACCUGGGAGGGUGACCGGCCACAUUGGGACUGAGAGACGGCGCAGACUCCUACGGGACGCAGCAGUGGAGAGUAUUGCACAAUGGGGGCGAGCCUGAUGCAGCAACGCCGCGGGCGGGAAGACGGGCUUCUGGUUGAAAACCGCUUUCAGCAGGGACGAAGCUUUUUGUGACGGUACCUGCAGAAGAAGCAACGGCUAACUACGUG
rnacentral:rRNA from 1 species